UCUGCUUCAAGAAUCUACUCACACCAGUAUGUCCAGGCCUGGCAAUUUUCAGGAUAGCAAACAAAGCUGUGAAUCAAGUGAAGAUGAAUUUACCAGAAUUCCAGUCUGGCAUGGAAAAAGCUGUUGCUUCAUUACCAGUGGUAUAGGUCUAUAGAUGAAAAGCACACAAAAUUGCCACUGAUUUAGCAAAGAGGAGAAAUAAAGUUAAGAAACAGAUGACAUGUUUACCAAGAC